GACGAACGCUGGCGGCGUGCUUAACACAUGCAAGUCGAACGGAAAGGCCCUGCUUUUGUGGGGUGCUCUAGUGGCGAACGGGUGAGUAACACGUGAGUAACCUGCCCUUGACUUUGGGAUAACUUCAGGAAACUGGGGCUAAUACCGGAUAGGAGCUCCUGCUGCAUGGUCGGGGUUGGAAAGUUUCGGCGGUUGGGGAUGGACUCGCGGCUUAUCAGCUUGUUGGUGGGGUAGUGGCUUACCAAGGCUUUGACGGGUAGCCGGCCUGAGAGGGUGACCGGCCACAUUGGGACUGAGAUACGGCCCAGACUCCUACGGGAGGCAGCAGUGGGGAAUAUUGCACAAUGGGCGGAAGCCUGAUGCAGCAACGCCGCGUGCGGGAUGACGGCCUUCGGGUUGUAAACCGCUUUCGCCUGUGACGAAGCGUGAGUGACGGUAAUGGGUAAAGAAGCACCGGCUAACUACGUG
rnacentral:rRNA from 1 species